rnacentral:rRNA from 1 species
CCUACGGGGUGCAGCAGUGGGGAAUAUUGCACAAUGGGGGAAACCCUGAUGCAGCGACGCCGCGUGAGUGAAGAAGUAAUUCGUUAUGUAAAGCUCUAUCAGCAGGGAAGAAAAUGACGGUACCUGAGUAAGAAGCCCCGGCUAACUACGUGCCAGCAGCCGCGGUAAUACGUAGGGGGCAAGCGUUAUCCGGAUUUACUGGGUGUAAAGGGAGCGUAGACGGCAGUGCAAGUCUGGAGUGAAAGGCGGGGGCUCAACCCCCGGACUGCUCUGGAAACUGUCCGGCUGGAGUGCAGGAGAGGUAAGUGGAAUUCCUAGUGUAGCGGUGAAAUGCGUAGAUAUGACGAAGAACCCCGAUUGCGAAGGCAGCUUGCUGCAGCGGAACUGACGCUGAUGCUCGAAAGCGCGGGUAUCGAACAGGAUUAGAUACCCCGGUAGUC